rnacentral:rRNA from 1 species
UAGCCUUCGGGUUCGCAUUGUAAUUUGUAGAGGAUGAUUUGGGGAAGCCGCCUGUCUAAGUUCCUUGGAACAGGACGUCAUAGAGGGUGAGAAUCCCGUAUGUGACAGGAAAUGGCACCCUAUGUAAAUCUCCUUCGACGAGUCGAGUUGUUUGGGAAUGCAGCUCUAAAUGGGAGGUAAAUUUCUUCUAAAGCUAAAUAUUGGCGAGAGACCGAUAGCGCACAAGUAGAGUGAUCGAAAGAUGAAAAGCACUUUGGAAAGAGAGUUAAAAAGCACGUGAAAUUGUUGAAAGGGAAGCGCUUGCAAUCAGACUUGUUUAAACUGUUCGGCCGGUCUUCUGACCGGUUUACUCAGUUUGGACAGGCCAGCAUCAGUUUCGGCGGCCGGAUAAAGGCUCUGGGAAUGUGGCCUCCACUUCGGUGGAGGUGUUAUAGCCCAGGGUGUAAUACGGCCAGCCGGGACUGAGGUCCGCGCUUCGGCUAGGAUGCUG